rfam:Roseomonas rosea strain DSM 14916 genome assembly, contig: EJ99DRAFT_scaffold00045.45
GGAAGGCCGGUCGCGGACGGGCGCCUCGUCGACCCGGUCAGGUCCGGAAGGAAGCAGCCGAGGCGGGUAACGUCUGGGUCGCGGUCCGGUCUUCCACC